GAGCUCUGCAUCGAACACUUUUAUUUGAACCUGGACUGAAGCAAAGAGCGGCAGACGCAACGGAGACACGAAGUUGGGUGCUGUGAGUGGCUGCUGCACGACAUCCAGAGCGGAGGGCUGGGCUGUCUGCCUCAUCUUUACUGGCGCGACAGCAGGCACUAGGAAACGAGGAGAAAUGUGGUGCAUUCAUCUCCACGGCUGCGUCACAUGUGAUACCAAGCUAUGAAAGUAAUGUGUUCGAGCAUCUGAGGAAGAGAGAUGUGCAAGCAACGGCAGCUACGAAAUGAACAUGGUGGUGAGGACAACAGUGGUCGCAGGCGGAGGAGGUACUACAAGUAGAGAUGUGGAAUAUGAGGAUACAAGACAAGUGAGUCAGUCGUCUUAGCGAGAGUGUAAGAUGGAAGAAAGAAAUGGACGAUACCUGGUUUCGCUGUGUGUAAUGAGGACGACGGGUAACUAACUGAUUUUGUAAGGCGGUGGUGCCGCCGCCAUCUACGCCUACGAAAUUUCAUGCUUGCGGACCUGUGCGGUGCCAACAGCCAGCCGUGCGGAUUCUGAGGCAUGGACACGACACCACCACGAAUAUAAAGGGGGGGGGGUGCCUUUCAGUAAGAUCCCUCUCCUCCCCUUCUUCCUCUGUUGACGUUUUUCCAUUUUCA